AUGAGUAUAAGCACAUGAUUGAUUCACGCAUGAACCUUGGUAAUUGAAUGCGUAACAUUUUAAGCGCCCCAUGCUUAUUGCCAAUACCUAUACUAGACGGAGGAUACAUAUUGAGCAGCCAUAAGUCAGGGUCAACGAAAGCCCAAGAACCAGCUGGAUCCUGUGACAUUCUGAGACGAAAUUGUUCAUCGUACGACUUCCAUCCUAGUGCGCACCGCUUAGCGCCUAGCCGUAUACUAUGCAUGUACUUGAGUAAAUCUUGAAAAACAGUCGAGUGAGCAGUAGUACUAAAUAUACUAAUAUUAUAGACUAAAAAAACGCAUCUGUCCAGUUACACAAUGUACCUAUUUGUGUAUAUUCCGGGGGAGGGGGAAGUAACUGACUAUCUUUUCGGGUAUAACUGUGCCGACAGCACUU
rnacentral:lncRNA from 1 species